AUACAGAGGGUGCGAGCGUUAAUCGGAAUUACUGGGCGUAAAGCGCGCGUAGGCAGCUUAUUAAGUCAGAUGUGAAAUCCCCGGGCUCAACCUGGGAACUGCAUCUGAUACUGGUAAGCUAGAGUUUUGGAGAGGGAAGUAGAAUUUCAGGUGUAGCGGUGAAAUGCAUAGAGAUCUGAAGGAAUACCAGUGGCGAAGGAGACUUCCUGGCCAAAAACUGACGCAGAGGUGCGAAAGCGUGGGUAGCAAACGGAAUUAGAAACCCCGGUAGUCC
rnacentral:rRNA from 1 species